UACGUAGGGCGCAAGCGUUGUCCGGAAUUAUUGGGCGUAAAGAGCUCGUAGGCGGCCUGUUGCGUCCGCUGUGAAAUCCCGGGGCUCAACCCCGGGCCUGCAGUGGAUACGGGCUGGCUAGAGGCAGGCAGGGGAGAAUGGAAUUCCUGGUGUAGCGGUGAAAUGCGCAGAUAUCAGGAGGAACACCGGUGGCGAAGGCGGGUCUCUGGGCCGAUACUGACGCUGAGGAGCGAAAGCGUGGGGAGCGAACAGG
rnacentral:rRNA from 1 species